CAGCAGAGAAGAUCACUCGCACGGGCUCGCUCGCAGCAACGAGCGCUUUGGCAGAAGGCAUUCCCGAGACAGCCAUCAAAGUCUUGGUGUGUGCGCCGGAUUGGCAUCAUAUGGUGGUCGUCACAUCAGAGUACUUACAAAGGCGCGUAAAGUCGUCUCACAUCGCGAAGUCAAGACUUCCCUACCACUAAAACCACGAAGCUAUGGAUGCAGGUAGCAGUAAGGAUGUGAAGCUUGGCUCUGGGAUCGGUGGCAAGCAGCUGUCUGCUCCAACUGGAAACAAGGCUCAUGUAGCAACUUUGGUACAAAAUGUUGCUUUCUUGUGAGCUAUUGCUCCAAGGAAUGUCAGAAGGAGGACUGCAAGAAGGCCUGUAAGUCGGAGCUGAUGGAUGAGCAGUACGUGCCUUCGUGGGUUACGUCCGUCUUCGUGGUUCACGGGCUCUUUGCAAAGGUUUGGAGAAGCACCCUGGGGAAAUGUGCCUGCACACGGCCUGCUAAGCAGAGAUGGCUUUCAGCCUCCGGAAGAGCCGAGCUUUUGUUUUGCAGCACCAGCAGAUCUACUUAACGCCAUAGAAACGGUGUGCCGACUCCCAGAUUCUUUCAGAGGCCGGGCAACUUUCUACGUCAACGACUGGAAUCCUCAAGUCGCAGUGAAGAACUUCCUCAUGAUCGAGCUGCUCAGGACCUUCGGAAGGGACGCUGUUGAUGCUGUGAUAGCUCUUUGGUACUCCUCCUGCCUCACGCCUUAGCAGACCGCCGCGAUCGACGAUCUGGCACGCUCGGUUCUAUAGAAGAAGAGCUCAGAUGUGAUCCCAAGCGCUCCAAGCUUUCUCUGGUUGCAAGCUUUGGAAACAAAGUCUGGGACUACGUGUGCUCCAGUUCCUGGACUAAAGAAACUGCACUGGAGACGAGGCGGAGGGUGAUGGUUGGCCGUCCCGACUUGUUGGAACGCAAGCUCGUUCUUCUCCAGCCUCAGCACAGGCUCUCUUGGAACGACUACCGCCACUCGGGAAUGCUCCUACGCGGCAACGCUAGAACACCACGAGCUAACAAGUAACUCCUCCAUCCCGAGCUCGGCUGGACCAUGAGCGAUUCAGCUGAGCCUCUCGACGGCUGGUUUGCAUCUGGCGAGAAGUAUGGAGUCUACGAAGAACCUCUGCGGCUGCCUCUUCUUCCACGUUGACAGCCCUGCUCACCAAGCUCGAGGUAUGCGAGUUACGUUCAAGUUCUUCUCUGCUGCGACGCUAGAGAGCUCGCACAGGUGUUUCGCAGGGAUGGAUUAACCUUCCAGGGGAUCGACACAUCAAACUUGGCAGAUGCGAUAUACGUUGGGAUUGAGAGGAUUCUCACGGACUGGGGGCCGCUGCUGGGUGUGAGCUUACAAUCUCGCUCAUGAACUGGGCGAAAGACCGUUCUUUCAGUGAAGCUGCUGUAAACAAUAGUACUAAAUAAGUCGGAGAUGGCGAUUCAACGCUGAGCCGGGGAUCCACUCGAUGAACCUUUCGCUAAGUGUGUCGUUUACCACACAAACAAGGCAGUCAAUCUCGUCGUCACUGGCGGCAAUGCUAGGAACGGAGCUCUCUAGAUCCGAGAGCCUCCCUGGCGCAACUUUGUGCUCUUUCCGAGCCGUCGCACUGCAACGAUCGCGUUUCGUGCCUCCAGAUACUCCUGGAACUCCUCACUGUUGUCGGGGAAGAGUUCUACCACCGCAGAGUUUAUGCAUAGCAUCCACUUGUCCAUGAAUCACGAACCUUUACGCUC